rnacentral:misc_RNA from 1 species
GUGAGUCAUCGAAUCUUUGAACGCACCUUGCGCCUCAUGGUAUUCCGUGAGGCAUGCCUGUUUGAGUGUCAUUAAAUUAUCAAAUCCAACAAUCUUUGAUUGUUGCGAUCUUGGAUGUGAGGUGUGCUGGAGCUUGCUCCGGCUCCCUUUUAAAUGCAUCAGCGGAGGUACUCGCUUCCGGCGCAUUGACGUGAUAAUUAUCUUCGUCAUUGUCCGGUCUUGAGUCCGCUUAUAAUCGUCUUCCGAGACACUAUAUGACAAUUUGACCUCAAAUCAGGUAGGACUACCCGCUGAACUUAA